UACGUAGGGGGCUAGCGUUGUCCGGAAUCAUUGGGCGUAAAGCGCGCGUAGGCGGCCAGAUAAGUCCGGUGUGAAAGUCAAAGGCUCAACCUUUGAAUGCCGCUGGAAACUGCCUGGCUUGAGUGUGGGAGAGGGAUGCGGAAUUCCAGGUGUAGCGGUGAAAUGCGUAGAUAUCUGGAGGAACACCGGUGGCGAAGGCGGCAUCCUGGUCCUUGACUGACGCUGAUGCGCGAAAGCGUGGGGAGCAAACAGG
rnacentral:rRNA from 1 species